rnacentral:rRNA from 1 species
AGGCCGCUUCGGUGGUGCUGACGACCGGCGCACGGGUGCGUAACGCGUAUGCAACCUACCUUUAACUGGGACAUAGCCCCGAGAAAUCGGGAUUAAUAUCCCAUAAUAUCCAGAAAACGCAUGUUUUCUGGAUUAAAGUUCCGGCGGUUAAAGAUGGGCAUGCGUGGCAUUAGUUAGUUGGUGAGGUAACGGCUCACCAAGGCAAUGAUGCCUAGGGGUCCUGAGAGGGUUUUCCCCCACACUGGUACUGAGACACGGACCAGACUCCUACGGGAGGCAGCAGUAAGGAAUAUUGGGCAAUAGGCGCAAGCCUGACCCAGCCAUGCCGCGUGCAGGAUGACGGCCCUAUGGGUUGUAAACUGCUUUUGUAUGGGAAAAAACUCCCGCACGUGUGCGGGACUGAUUGUACCAUACGAAUAAGCAUCGGCUAACUCCGUGCCAGCAGCCGCGGUAAUACGGAGGAUGCAAGCGUUAUCCGGAUUUAUUGGGUUUAAAGGGUGCGCAGGCGGAUUAGUAAGUCAGUGGUGAAAGCUCCCGGCUCAACCGGGAAAAUGCCAUUGAUACUGUUAAUCUUGAGUACAGUUGAGGUUGGCGGAAUGUAUCAUGUAGCGGUGAAAUGCAUAGAUAUGAUACAGAACACCGAUAGCGAAGGCAGCUUACCAAACUGUAACUGACGCUCAUGCACGAAAGCGUGGGGAGCAAACAGGAUUAGAUACCCUGGUAGUCCACGCUGUAAACUAUGAUCACUCGCUGUUGGCGAUACACUGUCAGCGGCUUAGCGAAAGUGUUAAGUGAUCCACCUG